rfam:Hordeum vulgare subsp. vulgare, WGS project CAJW01000000 data, contig: morex_contig_1583156
GUAUUACCCGGAGUUCCUUUGAAGCACUUCACGAAGCAUCUUUUUGAGGGCUUAUGUGAAGUGUUUGGGGGAACUCUCGGUGUCAC